GAGAGCCAACGUCCUGUCGCCACUUAGUGUCCCAGAGUGCAGUGUCGCUUCGUCUGAGAUGUCACUCGCGACAAGGCAGCAGUCACGGCGGGUGCUCCUAAUUUUGGUCGCGUUUACCUCUGUCGCCUCUGCGGUCACCUUGGAGCAAACGCCGUCCGUCACCAGACCGAGGGGGAAGAGCAUGGCGAGGCUGCACUGCAGGCUUACCGGCGUCAGUCAGGACACGGUGGUGGUCCACUGGUACCGAGAAACGGGAGGCGAACUGAAGAGGGUCCUCCGUCACUCCUCCAAACAGCGCGCCACGUAUGACAGCGGCUUUAGCGAAUACAAAUACCUGGCCGAGCACGGGGGUCUCCUCUUCACCCUCACGAUCAACGACAUCGACGACGAGGACGCGGCUCGCUAUUACUGUGCGGUGUGGGACGCACGGCGAGUGACAAAAGGGAAUCGCGCGACUCAAAGGUGGUCGCCUUCACGAGCUGCAAUGGUUCAUAAGAGAGGGACCAAGGCAGAGACCCCUAAAGAAGAGCCCACCCGCUUAAAGGUGACGUCCGCACACUCUCCUCACAACACCCCAGUCGACGCCUGGUAA